rnacentral:rRNA from 1 species
GUGGAUUAGAUACCCGGGUAGUCCUAGCCGUAAACGAUGGAUACUAGGUGUUAGUGGUAUCGACCCCACUAGUGCCGCAGCUAACGCAAUAAGUAUCCCGCCUGGGGAGUACGGCCGCAAGGUUGAAACUCAAAGGAAUUGACGGGGGCCCGCACAAGCGGUGGAGCAUGUGGUUUAAUUCGUCAUUAACCGAAGAACCUUACCAGGGGUUGACAUCUAGGGAAUCCUGAUGAAAGUCGGGAGUGCUUCGAAAGAAGAGCCCUAAGACAGGUGUUGCAUGGCCGUCGUCAACU